rnacentral:tRNA from 1 species
GGAGGUGUGGUGUAGUCGGUUAACACGCGGCCCUGUCAAGGCCGAGAGCGCGGGUUCGAGCCCCGUCACUUCCG